rnacentral:rRNA from 1 species
GACGAACGCUGGCGGCGUGCUUAACACAUGCAAGUCGAACGAAGUGGCGAACGGGUGAGUAACGCGUAAUCAACCUGCCCUUCAGAGGGGGACAACAGUUGGACACGACUGCUAAUACCGCAUACUGCAGUCGGGGAUUGCGUCUGAUUCGCUAGUUGGAGGGGGAACGGCCCACCAAGGCGAUGAUCAGUAGCCGGUCGGAGAGGAUGAACGGCCACAUUGGGACUGAGACACGGCCCAGACUCCUACGGGAGGCAGCAGUGGGGAAUCUUCCGCAAUGGACGAAAGUCUGACGGAGCAACGCCGCGUGAGUGAUGAAGGUCUUCGGAUCGUAAAACUCUGUUAUUAGGGAAGCGGUACCUAAUCAGAAAGCCACGGCUAACUACGUGCCAGCAGCCGCGGUAAUUC